rnacentral:rRNA from 1 species
ACUACGGGGGGCAGCAGUGAGGAAUAUUGGUCAAUGGACGCGAGCCUGAACCAGCCAAGUAGCGUGAAGGAUGACUGCCCUACGGGUUGUAAACUUCUUUUAUAAAGGAAUAAAGUGAGGCACGUGUGGCUUUUUGUAUGUACAUUAUGAAUAAGGAUCGGCUAACUCCGUGCCAGCAGCCGCGGUAAUACGGAGGAUCCGAGCGUUAUCCGGAUUUAUUGGGUUUAAAGGGAGCGUAGGUGGAUUGUUAAGUCAGUUGUGAAAGGUUGCGGCUCAAACGUAAAAUUGCAGUUGAGACUGGCAGCCUUGAGUACAGUAGAGGUGGGCGGAAUUCGUGGUGUAGCGGUGAAAUGCUUAGAUAUCACGAAGAACUCCGAUUGCGAAGGCAGCCCACUGGACUGCAACUGACACUGAUGCUCGAAAGUGUGGGUAUCAAACAGGAUUAGAUACCCGAGUAGUC